AGAUUGAACGCUGGCGGCAUGCCUUACACAUGCAAGUCGAACGGCAGCACGGGAGCAAUCCUGGUGGCGAGUGGCGAACGGGUGAGUAAUACAUCGGAACGUGCCCAAUCGUGGGGGAUAACGCAGCGAAAGCUGUGCUAAUACCGCAUAAGAUCUACGGACGAAAGCAGGGGAUCGCAAGACCUUGCGCGAAUGGAGCGGCCGAUGGCAGAUUAGGUAGUUGGUGAGGUAAAGGCUCACCAAGCCUUCGAUCUGUAGCUGGUCUGAGAGGACGACCAGCCACACUGGGACUGGGACACGGCCCAGACUCCUACGGGAGCAGCAGUGGGAAUUUGGACAAUGGGCGAAAGCCUGAUCCAGCCAUCGCGCGUGCAGGAUGAAGGCCUUCGGUUAGUAAACGUGUACUUUUGUACGGUAACGAAAGUUCUACUUUACGUAAUAAAGGAGGAAUCUAUAGACGUACCGUAAAGAAUAAAGACAACCGGUACUAACGUACGUCGUACC
rnacentral:rRNA from 1 species